rnacentral:rRNA from 1 species
AAUGGCAAAGUCGAACGCACAGCGAAAGGUGGCUUGCACCUUUCAAGUGAGUGGCGAACGGGUGAGUAACACGUGGACAACCUGCCUCAAGGCUGGGGAUAACAUUUGGAAACAGAUGCUAAUACCGAAUAAAACUUAGUGUCGCAUGACACAAAGUUAAAAGGCGCUUCGGCGUCACCUAGAGAUGGAUCCGCGGUGCAUUAGUUAGUUGGUGGGGUAAAGGCCUACCAAGACAAUGAUGCAUAGCCGAGUUGAGAGACUGAUCGGCCACAUUGGGACUGAGACACGGCCCAAACUCCUACGGGAGGCUGCAGUAGGGAAUCUUCCACAAUGGGCGAAAGCCUGAUGGAGCAACGCCGCGUGUGUGAUGAAGGCUUUCGGGUCGUAAAGCACUGUUGUAUGGGAAGAACAGCUAGAAUAGGAAAUGAUUUUAGUUUGACGGUACCAUACCAGAAAGGGACGGCUAAAUACGUGCCAGCAGCCGCGGUAAUACGUAUGUCCCGAGCGUUAUCCGGAUUUAUUGGGCGUAAAGCGAGCGCAGACGGUUUAUUAAGUCUGAUGUGAAAGCCCGGAGCUCAACUCCGGAAUGGCAUUGGAAACUGGUUAACUUGAGUGCAGUAGAGGUAAGUGGAACUCCAUGUGUAGCGGUGGAAUGCGUAGAUAUAUGGAAGAACACCAGUGGCGAAGGCGGCUUACUGGACUGCAACUGACGUUGAGGCUCGAAAGUGUGGGUAGCAAACAGGAUUAGAUACCCUGGUAGUCCACACCGUAAACGAUGAACACUAGGUGUUAGGAGGUUUCCGCCUCUUAGUGCCGAAGCUAACGCAUUAAGUGUUCCGCCUGGGGAGUACGACCGCAAGGUUGAAACUCAAAGGAAUUGACGGGGACCCGCACAAGCGGUGGAGCAUGUGGUUUAAUUCGAAGCAACGCGAAGAACCUUACCAGGUCUUGACAUCCUUUGAAGCUUUAGAGAUAGAAAUGUUCUCUUCGGAGACAAAUGACAGGUGGUGCAUGGUCGUCGUCACCUCCUGUCCUGAGAAAUUGGGUUAAUUCCCCCAACGAGCGCAACCCUUAUUGUUAGUUGCCGCCAUUCAAAUGGGGACUCUACCAGACUGGCGGUGACAAACCGAAGAAGGGGGGGAGAAAAUCAAUCAUCAUGCCCCUUUUAACUGGGGUACCACCUGCUCCAUGGCGUUAACAACAAAUUGCAACCCCGCCGGGGGGAGGAAUCUUUAAA